rnacentral:rRNA from 1 species
GAGUUUGAUCCUGGCUCAGGACGAACGCUGGCGGCGUGCUUAACACAUGCAAGUCGAACGGAAAGGCCCUUCGGGGUGCUCGAGUGGCGAACGGGUGAGUAACACGUGGGUGAUCUGCCCUGCACUUUGGGGUAAGCCUGGGAAACUGGGUCUAAUACCGGAUAGGACUACGGCCUGCAUGGGUUGUGGUGGAAAGCUUUUGCGGUGUGGGAUGGGCCCGCGGCCUAUCAGCUUGUUGGUGGGGUGAUGGCCUACCAAGGCGACGACGGGUAGCCGGCCUGAGAGGGUGACCGGCCACACUGGGACUGAGAUACGGCCCAGACUCCUACGGGAGGCAGCAGUGGGGAAUAUUGCACAAUGGGCGCAAGCCUGAUGCAGCGACGCCGCGUGAGGGAUGACGGCC